UCUCAUUCUCAUUACGUUCACCCUUUCUCAUUCCCAUUCUCUUAUGAUCCCUUUCUCUCACUCCUCGUUUCUUCUUUUUCCUCUAUUCUUUUCUUACUCUCUCUUGAACUACAAUGGUAGAAGACAUGUGUUUCCUCUACAAGAGAGAAAGUGGAAGAACACAUUAAAGCUACGAUUUUUAUCUCAAAAAAUCCAAAAGUACAGGUUCAUAAACACAAAAGCUUAAAUUAUUUUGGGUGUUAUGCCUUUAUUUUGUUUUCUGGCUUCUCGCAAUACAAAAGUUUACAUUUUUUUGUGUUCAUGAGCUUUCUCCAACAUGCUCAUUGCUUCAUAUGCCCAGCUUUUUGUGUUUUCGUCCUUUUUUGGUGGUGUAAUGGUUCAAUAUAUUUUUUGGCAUGUUGUAUGCAUAGAAGUUGGAAGAACACAUUAAAGCUGUCAUUUUUAUCUCAAAAACUCCAUGACUACAGGUUCGAAAACACAAAAGCUUAAAUUUUUUUUUGUGUUCUGCCUUUAUUUUGUUUUCUGACUUCUCGCAAUACAAAAGUUUAAUUUUUUUUGUUACAGAACCUUCUCCACUGUGCUCAUUGCUUCCUAUAUCCAGCUUUUUGUGUUUUCGUCCUUUUUUGGUGGUGUAAUGGUUUAAUAUAUUUUUUGGCAUGUUGUAUGCAAAGAAGGUGGAAGAACACAUUAAAGUUGCGAUUUUUAUCCCAAAAACUUCAUGAGUACAGGUUCGUAAACACAAAAGCUUAAAUUUUUUUAGGUGUUAUGUCUUUAUUUUGUUUUCUACAUGAGUACAGGUUCGUAACGACAGUGCUAAAGGUGUUGAAGAAUAAAGGUGUCAUUUUUUUUUGCUUUUUUUCCUAAUUUCCUUUUUAAAAAAAUUUAUCUUGUGUCAUUUUUGCUACAAGAGUUGUUGCUGAUUUCUUUUUGUUUCUGUUCUAUUCUUUUUCGUUUGUUUUUUUAAAAAUGAUGUUCUGCCAUUUUUUCUACAAGAGUUGUUGUUGAUAUUUUGCAACAAUAUGAUUCACAGAGCAGUGUUAAAGAAUAAAGGUUCCAUUUUUAUCUAUUUUUUCCCGUUUUUUUGUCUAAUUUUUUGUGGUAUGAUUUUGUGGUUUGAUUUUUGGGACAGUGCUGAAGGUGUUGAAGAAUAAAGGUGUUAUUUUUUUCCUUUUUUUCCUAAUUUCCUUUUUUAAAAAAAUUAUCUUCUGUCAUUUUUGCUAUAAGAGUUAUGAUUUUGUGGUUUGAUUUUUGAGACAGGCUAACGAUAGUGCUGAAGGUGUUAAAGAAUAAAGGUGUCAUUUUUUCCUUUUUUUCCUGAUUUCCUUUUUUAAAAAAAUUAUCUUCUGUCAUUUUUGCUACAAGAUUUGUUGUUGAUUUCGUUUUGUUUCUCUUCUAUUCUUUUUCAUUUUUUUUAAAAUAUGAUCUUCUACCAUUUUUGCUACAAGAGUUGUUGCUGAUUUUUUGCAACAAUAUGAUUCACAGGGCAGUGUUGAUGAAUAAAGGUUCUGUUUUUAUCUAUUUUUUGCCCGUUUCUUUUUGUCUAAUUUUUUGUGGUAUAAUUUUGUGUUGUUUGAUUUUUGGGACAGGCUAACAACGGUGCUGAAUGUGUUGAAGAAUAAAGAUGCUGUGAACAAUUUGCAGAACUGCAGCUAUGUGGAUGGUGAAGCUGCAACUGAGGAAAUGAAAAAGAGUUAUCAUGUUCUGAGAAAAAUAGAGUGAUGAUGACCCCAUUUUGAUUGAUGGAGAAAUUUUUAUGUUACUUUGAUUUAACAGUUUAAAGUUGUGAUUUAAUCAUUAUGGUUUCCAGAGACAAUGCAUUUUAUUGUUUACAAUUUGCUGAAAAAUGUAAAUUGAAAACACAUUUUUUAUAUUAGUUACACUGAGUUA